GCCGGGCGUGGUAGCGUGCGCCUGUAAUUCCGGCUACUCGGAAGGCUGAGGCGGAAGUAUCGCCAGAGCCCAGCAGGUCGAGGCUGCGGUGCGGUGGCCGGGAGCGGUCACUGCACUCCAGUCUGGGUGACAGAGUGAGACUCCAACUCAAAAAAAAAAAAAAAAAAACUCCCGUGCUGAUCAGUAGUGGGAUCGCGCCUGUGAAUAGCCACUAUACUCAAGCCUGGGCAACAUAGCGAGACCCUGUCUCU
rnacentral:sRNA from 1 species